rnacentral:rRNA from 1 species
GCCCACACGAUUCUCGCUAGGUGUAUCGCCCCAUCGGACCUGCGACUCAUUGUACGGUGCCGAAGGGGAACCCGUGAAACCUAGCCACCUGGGAAGUACGGUCGCAAGGCUGAAACUUAAAGGAAUUGGCGGGGGAGCACCACAACAGGGGGUGGAGCCUUGCGGUUUAAUCUGGACUUCAACGGCCGGGAAAGUCUCUACCGGAUACCGACAGCUGAAAUGAUAGGCCAGGCUUGAAGACUCUUGCUUGAUU